UUCCCUUGGGGCCUCAGAGAGUGCAUCUGU
rnacentral:piRNA from 1 species